GGAAGUGUGGCAGAACGGUAAUGCAGCGGCUUGCUAAGCCGUCGACGCGGCACCCCCGCGUUUGAGGGUUCGAUUCCCUCCGCUUCCGCCG
rnacentral:tRNA from 1 species